rnacentral:rRNA from 1 species
AUUGAACGCUGGCGGCAUGCCUUACACAUGCAAGUCGAACGGCAGCACGGGGGCAACCCUGGUGGCGAGUGGCGAACGGGUGAGUAAUACAUCGGAACGUGCCCAGUCGUGGGGGAUAACGUAGCGAAAGUUACGCUAAUACCGCAUACGAUCUCUGGAUGAAAGCGGGGGACCGCAAGGCCUCGCGCGAUUGGAGCGGCCGAUGGCAGAUUAGGUAGUUGGUGGGGUAAAAGCUUACCAAGCCUCCGAUCUGUAGCUGGUCUGAGAGGACGAUCAGCCACACUGGGACUGAGACACGGCCCAGACUCCUACGGGAGGCAGCAGUGGGGAAUUUUGGACAAUGGGCGCAAGCCUGAUUCAGCAAUGCCGCGUGCAGGACGAAGGCCUUCGGGUUGUAAACUGCUUUUGUACGGAGCGAAACGGCUUCCACUAAUACUGGGGGCUAAUGACAGUACCGUAAGAAUAAGCACCGGCUAACUACGUGCCAGCCGCCGCCGUAA